rnacentral:lncRNA from 1 species
UCCUCUAUACUCCAAUUGAUUCUCCAGAGAGUGAACAUCUAAUAAUGGAUGCCUUAACAAAUCUACAAACGCUACCCUAUAUAGAGGCUGGAAGCUGAUCAGAACACGGUUUAGCCAAUUAUUUCAACAAUUGGAUGAAGCACAGCCUUAAUUCAUUCUGUACUGCUUCAAUCUGAACAAGAAGCAUGGCCACCCGAAUGCAAAUUUUCUCACCGUGACCGUCUCCUAAAGCCGUGUUUCUAUGGAAAGAUUAGAGAAGUUACCUGACCCAUAUGACUUCCCACCUAAUCUCAUUAAGCUAACUCUUUACAACUCCCACCUUCAGAAAGAUUCAAUUAGUAAGCUGGAAAGACCGCCAAACCUAAAAAUGCUUGUUUUGGGAAAUGGGUCCAUAUAACUGGGGGGAUAUGACAUUCUCCUCCAAAGGAUUCCUCAACUGCAAAUUCUGUGAUCCCACCUUUUGAAAGAAUUAGAGAAUUGGACAUUGGAAGAAAAGUCAGUACCAAAGCUGAAGCAUUUAAUGAUAAAUCACUGUGAGGAACUACAAUGCAUUCCGGAAGGAUUAAAGCAUGCGACUAACCUCGAAGAACUAGAGAUUGUUGGAAUGCCAGUAGAGUUUGAAUACAGGCUGAACAAAGGAUUUCC